AUGAAGCUAAAAAUGUGGCAUUAGACAUUCUUAAGCUUUUAGACACUAACUGUGCCAUACGUGUAACUUAUAGGUUUAGCACCCCUGAAGGCCAAUGGCAAACCUGCACUGUUGCAAAAUGAAACAGUCUCUCUCUGUGUUUUGGAAUCUGACAGCAGACCUCUUUGGACCAGCAGAUUAAGUCAUGGAGUUCUUUGUAAAGAUAAGAUGACAUCCACCCAAAUCAGAGAACCAAAGAUAUUUCUGAUCAGACAACCAGUGAACCUCAUUUCACCUCCAAUCUUCAUGGAAAAGGUCCAAACUGUGUGCAUCAGUUCUUAGUCUUCAUCCCCUGCCGGCCUGCUCUCCAGCAUGACGUCUCUUACAAGUACCAAAGCUCUAGGCUCUUACUCACAUUCUCCUGGACCUCUGGGGUACAGUCUGCAAAGCCCACUGAAUCAAACCCCUACAGAUCCAUGCUACCUCCCCUUCAGCUCUCAAACCAACCAAAGAGUUCAACUGAGUUCCUGCAGUUCCUCGCUUCCAGAUUCUUG